GGAUGUAGGGAUUAGAAAUAAACUCCAUUUUUUUUAAUCUAAAACCGAAAUCUCAAAAAAACUGCACAAAAUUGCUCGUGUUGGUGGUGGUUGUAGCCCAGGAACCCAUUGUGUGUGUGUGUUCCCACCACUUCCCACUUCCAGCUCGUGUCCUGGAAUUCUGAGUAACCCUGUCCUUGUCUGGGCGUGAAGGAGGUUCCAGCAGUGUGAUCCUGGUCCCUGAGCUGUAUCCCACAGGAAUGUGCCUGCCUGGCCCUCGCUGGCCCGGGGUGGGAUGGCUGGUGAUCCAUGUGGGAUGGUUGGUGAUCCAGAGGAGGAUGGCUGGUGAUCCAGGUGGGAUGGCUGGUGAUCCAGAGGGAAUGGCUGGUGAUCCAGAGGGGGAUGACUGGUGAUCCAGGUGGGAUGGUUGGUGAUCCAGAGGAAGACGGCUGGUGAUCCAUGUGGGAUGGCUGGUGAUCCAGGUGGGAUGGUUGGUGAUCCAGGUGGGAUGGUUGGUGAUCCAGGUGGGAUGGCUGAUGAUCCAGGUGGGAUGGUUGGUGAUCCAGGUGGGAUGGCUGGUGAUCCAGAGGAGGAUGGCUGGUGAUCCAGAGGGAGAUGGCUGGUGAUCCAGGUGGGAUGGCUGGUGAUCCAGGGUGGGAUGGCUGGUGAUCCAGGUGGGAUGGCUGGUGAUCCAGGUGGGAUGGCUGGUGAUCCAGAGGAGGAUGGCUGGUGAUCCAGGUGGGGAUGGUUGGUGAUCCAGAGGGAUGGCUGGUGAUCCAGGUGGGAUGGCUGGUGAUCCAGGUGGGAUGGCUGGUGAUCCAGAGGAGGAUGGUUGGUGAUCCUGGUGGGAUGGCUGGUGAUCCAGAGGGGGAUGGCUGUUG